rnacentral:lncRNA from 7 species
CAUCAUUGUCGGGUUACAUGGGGGAUUUCCAAAGAGAAAUCGCCUUUUUUUUUUUUUUUCUGGUUAAAUGGGGGAUUUUUGAAGAGAAAAUGCGUGAUUUUCAGAUUAAAUGGGGGAUUGUUGAAGGGAAAAUGUGUGAUUUUCGGGUUAAAUGGGGAUUCUCGAAGAGAAAAUGGGUGAUUUUUGGGUUGAAACUGCUAUUUUUGUAGAGAAUAGGCAUGAUUUUUGGUUUAAAAGAGGGAUUCUCAAAGAGAAAAUGCAUUAUGUUUGUUUAAGUGGGGUAUUUUGAAGGGAAAAUGUGUGAUUUUCGGGUCAAAUGGGGAUUCUCGAAGAGAAAUUGCGUUUUUUUCUGGUUAAAUGGGGAUUUCCGAAGAGAAAAUGCAUGAUUUUCGUUUAGAUGUGAGGUUUUUGUAGAGGAAAUGCGUGAUUUUUUGGAUACAUGGGGAUUCUUGUAGCAAAAUGUUUGAUUUUGGGGUCCAAUGGGGGAUUUUUGAAGAGCAAAGGUGAUUUUCACGUUAAAUGGGGGGUUUUCCGUGAGAAAAUGUGUGAUUUGGGGGAUAAUGGGUAUUUUUGAAGAGAUAAAGCAUGAUUUUGGGGUAAAUGGGGGAUUUUGCAAGAGAAAAGGCGAGAUUGUUGAGUUAAAUGGGGGAUUUUGCAAGAGAAAAUGCGUGCUUUUGGGGUUAAAUGGGGGAUUGUUGAAGAGACAAUGCAUGAUUUGGGGGUUAAGGGGGGGAUUUUGAAGAGAAAAUGCUGAUUUUGUGGAAAAUGUGG